AGAGUUUGAUCCUGGCUCAGGAUGAACGUUGGCGGUGUGCCUAAUACAUGCAAGUCGAACGGAGUUAAUAGCAAUAUUGACUUAGUGGCGAACGGGUGAGUAACGCGUUGGUGAUCUGCCUUGAAGUGUGGAAUAACGUUUCGAAAGAGACGCUAAUACCGCAUGUGCUCUCAAUUUUUAGAAAGUUGAAAGUAAAGGAUUUAUUCGCUUCAAGAGGAGCCUGCGUCCCAUCAGCUGGUUGGUAGGGUAACGGCCUACCAAGGCUAUGACGGGUAGGGGACCUGAGAGGGUGGCCCCCCACAAUGGAACUGAAACACGGUCCAUACACCUACGGGUGGCAGCAGUAGGGAAUAUUAGAAAUGGACGAAAGUCUGAUCUAGCAACACCGCGUGUGCGAAGAAGGCCUUCGGGUCGUAAAGCACUUUUUGGAAGGAAUAGGAAGGAAUGUACUUCCAGAAUAAGUCUCGGCUAACUACGUGCCAGCAGCCGCGGUAACACGUAGGAGGCGAACGUUAUCCGGAUUUACUGGGCGUAAAGCGCGUGUAGGUGGUUCUGUAAGUAGGGCGUGAAAGCUCCUGGCUCAACUGGGAGAGGCCGUUCUAAACUGCAGAGCUAGAGGAUGGUAGAGGGAGGUGGAAUUCCAGGUGUAGCGGUGGAAUGCGCAGAUAUCUGGAGGAACACCAGUGGCGAAGGCGGCCUCCUGGACCAUUCCUGACACUCAGACGCGAAAGCUAGGGUAGCAAACGGGAUUAGAGACCCCGGUAGUCCUAGCCCUAAACGAUGUAGACUAGGCGUCGGUGGUUUAAUCACCAUCGGUGUCCCAAGCUAACGCGAUAAGUCUACCGCCUGGGGACUACGGCCGCAAGGUUAAAACUCAAAGGAAUUGACGGGUCCCCGCACAAGCAGCGGAGCGUGUGGUUUAAUUCGUUGCUACACGAAGAACCUUACCUGGGUUUGACAUAGCAGUGGUAGGGAAGCGAAAGCGGACCGACCCUUCGGGGAGCUGUUACAGGUGUUGCAUGGCUGUCGUCAGCUCGUGUCGUGAGAUGUUCGGUUAAGUCCGCUAACGAGCGCAACCCGCGUUGUGUGUUACAAGUGUCACACAAUACCGCCGGUAUUAAGUCGGAGGAAGGUGCGGAUGACGUCAAGUCAGCAUGACCUUUAUAUCCAGGGCUACACACACGCUACAAUGGUCGGCACAAUAGGUUGCCAAGUCGUGAGACGGAGCCAAUCCUCCAAAGCCGGCCUCAGUUCAGAUUGCAGGCUGCAACUCGCCUGCAUGAAGUUGGAGUUGCUAGUAAACGCAGGUCAGCUAUACUGCGUUGAAUACGUUCCCGGGGAUUGUACACACCGCCCGUCAAGUCAUGGAAGCUGGCAACACCUGAAGCCGGUAUCCUAACCCGUAAGGGAGGGAGCUGUCAAAGGUGGGGUUGGUGACUGGGACUAAGUCGUAACAAGGUA
rnacentral:rRNA from 1 species